AUUGAACGCUGGCGGCAGGCCUAACACAUGCACGUCGAACGCGUCGCGGACGGGUGAGUAAUGUCGGGGAAACUGCCUGAUGGAGGGGUAUAACUACUGGAAACGGUCGCUUAUCCCGCAUAACAUCAUAUGUCCACAUAUGGGAUGAGAUUGUGGGUGGGGUAACGGCUCACCAAGGCGACGACCCCUAGCUGGUCUGAGAGGAUGAACAGCCACACUGGAACUGAGACACGGUCCAGACGCCUACGUGAGGCAGCAGUGGGGAAUAUUGCACAAUGGGCGCAAGCCUGAUGCAGCCAUGCCGCGUGUAUGAAGAAGGCCUUAGGGUUGUAAAGUACUUUCAGCGGGGAGGCGUUACCCACAGAAGAAGCACCGGCUAACUCCGUGCCAGCAGCCGCGGUAAUAC
rnacentral:rRNA from 1 species